AGAGGUAGAGUGUUGUAGAGAUUAUUACAUGUGGGGGAAUAUUAUCCUUUUUGCAGAAUCUCUACAUCAAUCUGCCUUAC
rnacentral:pre_miRNA from 1 species